CAACACGGCGGUCUAGUUCUGGAGACCCUCUAACCGAGCUUGUAGAUCCAAAACCCACGAGGUAGCCACAAGUCAGAGAGUAGAGGAAGACAAGAUUGAAGUCUCUCCAACCGGCUUUGAAGCCCCAAAGGAAGCCACAAGUCAGAGACUAGAGGAAGAACAAAUUGAAGACUCUCCAACCGAG